rnacentral:lncRNA from 1 species
CAAGGAAUACCUAACCAAGACAUUAUUAUCAAUACUAGGUGCUUGUUUUAAUAUCUGUACUGCUGCAAUUUUGAAUCUGCAAAGAGAUUACAUGGUAUCAUCUCUUUCAAGAUUGUCCUCUAAAAGUGUGAUUUAUUUUUUAGACAAAAAUUUAGAUGGUGGUAUUAAUUUCUUUUGAGAUUCAAUCCAUCAAAUUUUAGUUUAGAAAAUUUAUACAUAAAUUUAGAGAUGACUGUAGAUUGUUUUAUUCCAUCACGUCAGCAUAAAGGCACAAUCUAGUGUAUGCAUAGUGACAAUUUCAAUAGAUCUAGUAGUAUCUGAUAAUUUCUUACCUGAAGUAAGAUCUUUUAUGUCGUCUGCUCAGAGAACACUCAUCGAUCUUGAAGAUCUGACGUUCCUAGCUCCUAUUGCGAGAUAGAGAAGAGUGAAUUUCUUAGAAGUGAAGAUGGAGAUUAUCUUUGAUAGCGGUGCUUUCUCCGGGGGUUGGACGACGACAAGUAGCUCACACGCUUAAUUAUGGUGCUUCCUCCGGGGAUCAGAAAAUAACAACAACCUUGUCUUCAUCCAUGAUCUGCUUCUUCCAGCAGAUAUGUUCAAGAUAUGUUACAGUGACCUUUCCACAUCUUUGUUCAUUUGGUCCUUUUUCUUAUUUUAUUUUUGUCUUAUUGGACAAGGCCACUUUUGGGCCU